rnacentral:rRNA from 1 species
GACGUAGGGCGCGAGGCGUGUCCGGAUUUAUUGGGCGUAAAGAGCUCGUAGGCGGCUUGUCGCGUCGAAUGUGAAAUCUCAGGGCUCAACUCUGACAUUGCAUUCGAUACGGGCAGGCUAGAGUUCGGUAGGGGAGACUGGAAUUCCUGGUGUAGCGGUGAAAUGCGCAGAUAUCAGGAGGAACACCGGUGGCGAAGGCGGGUCUCUGGGCCGAUACUGACGCUGAGGAGCGAAAGCGUGGGGAGCGAACAGG